rnacentral:misc_RNA from 1 species
CAUUUCCAUUCAAGAGUUCUUAUGCAUUAAGCUUCAUCUCUCUUUUCUCCACGUGUACUCAACAAGGACCACGAAUAACAAAUGCUAAACACAUUUAGAAUGGAGAAGAAUAUUCAUCAGUCGCCAUUCUUUUUUACAAAGAAACCAUCAAACUUGCUAAACGUUUCUUUUUCUUUUCAUCUUUCCCCUUUUGUUUUCAUGCCGGUCAACAUUUAGCAUAGCACAAAGAAACUUCCUGUUACAUAUUAUAGGAAGAGGAG